rnacentral:rRNA from 1 species
UACAGAGGUCUCAAGCGUUGUUCGGAUUCAUUGGGCGUAAAGGGUGCGUAGGUGGCGCCAUAAGUCAGGUGUGAAAUCUCGGGGCUCAACCCCGAAACUGCACUUGAUACUGUGGUGCUCGAGUACUGGAGAGGAGAUUGGAAUUUACGGUGUAGCAGUGAAAUGCGUAGAUAUCGUAAGGAAGACCAGUGGCGAAGGCGAAUCUCUGGACGGUUACUGACACUGAGGCACGAAGGCCAGGGGAGCAAACGGG